GGAAGAGAGAAAGAAGAGAAGUUUAUGUUCUCUCUCACAAACUCCAUUUUCGCAACUCUUGGUACAACUCCACUAAAACGCUUCUGUUUUAAAGGAGAAAAUCAAGCUUGAAGUUGGGACAUGCAUGCUGAAUGUGAAGAAGAAUGGGUUACGGGUUUGGUGAGCUUGAAGGUGAAGUUUGUGUCAAGAAGGGAGUUCAAUGGCAGCAAGAGCAUCCUCAUAACCUCUCUAAAUCCAUGGUGCAGUUUAGUAGCUUUUGAUAGAUAGCAGGUUCGGAUUGAUGGCUUGAAGUGGUGUUGGCUCGAAGACCUCGUUGGUUUUGACAUUCCGCUGUGCAAGAUCCAUUGAAGACUCAUGUAUUAUGCUUCUUAGUAGAAGUUCAUGUUGUAUUUUAUAUGGAUCAAAUAUUGUAUCUUGACUUGUGUAUGUACUCAAUAUCAAUUUUAACGUUUCAUGCAUAAUAUACUAGUCAGUUAUGUUUGGGGUGUUACAA